rnacentral:rRNA from 1 species
CGGAUGACCUGUGGCUGGGGGUGAAAGGCCAAUCAAACCGGGAGAUAGCUGGUUCUCCCCGAAAGCUAUUUAGGUAGCGCCUCGUGAACUCAUCUCCGGGGGUAGAGCACUGUUUCGGCUAGGGGGCCAUCCCGGCUUACCAACCCGAUGCAAACUGCGAAUACCGGAGAAUGUUAUCACGGGAGACACACGGCGGGUGCUAACGUCCGUCGUGAAGAGGGAAACAACCCAGACCGCCAGCUAAGGUCCCAAAGUCAUGGUUAAGUGGGAAACGAUGUGGGAAGGCCCAGACAGCCAGGAUGUUGGCUUAGAAGCAGCCAUCAUUAAAGAAAGCGUAAUAGCUCACUGGUCGAGUCGGCCUGCGCGGAAGAUGUAACGGGGCUAAACCAUGCACCGAAGCUGCGGCAGCGAC